rnacentral:piRNA from 1 species
ACUGUGAUGAAAUGAGACUGAGG